AUAAAAAUAGCAAAAAAGUGCGCUAGGUUUAAGCUCUAGAUAUGAAGAUGAAAGUUCUUUUUUUUAUA
rnacentral:tRNA from 1 species